GUCCAGACUCCUACGGGAGGCAGCAGUGGGGGAUAUUGCACAAUGGGGGAAACCCUGAUGCAGCAACGCCGCGUGAGUGAAGAAGGUCUUCGGAUUGUAAGGCUCUGUUCUUGGUGAAGAUAAUGACGGUAGCCAAGGAGAAAGCUCCGGCUAACUACGUGCCAGCAGCCGCGGUAAAACGUAGGGGGCGAGCGUUGUCCGGAAUGACUGGGCGUAAAGGGUGCGUAGGCGGCAUAAUAAGUUAGAAGUGAAAUACCCAGAGCUUAACUCGGGUGCUGCUUCUAAGACUGUUGAGCUUGAGUGCGGGAGAGGUUAAUGGAAUUCCUAGUGUAGCGGUGGAAUGCGUAGAUAUUAGGAGGAACACCAGAGGCGAAGGCGAUUAACUGGACCGUAACUGACGCUGAGGCACGAAAGUGUGGGUAGCAAACAGGAUUAGAUACCCCAGUAAU
rnacentral:rRNA from 1 species